rnacentral:rRNA from 1 species
GAUGAACGCUGGCGGCGUGCCUAAUACAUGCAAGUCGAGCGAACAGACGAGGAGCUUGCUCCUCUGACGUUAGCGGCGGACGGGUGAGUAACACGUGGAUAACCUACCUAUAAGACUGGGAUAACUUCGGGAAACCGGAGCUAAUACCGGAUAAUAUAUUGAACCGCAUGGUUCAAUAGUGAAAGACGGUUUUGCUGUCACUUAUAGAUGGAUCCGCGCCGCAUUAGCUAGUUGGUAAGGUAACGGCUUACCAAGGCGACGAUGCGUAGCCGACCUGAGAGGGGGAGCGGCCACACUGGAACUGAGACACGGUCCAGACUCCUACGGGAGGCAGCAGUAGGAAAUCUUCCGCAAUGGGCGAAAGCCUGACGGAGCAACGCCGCGUGAGUGAUGAAGGUCUUCGGAUCGUAAAACUCUGUUAUUAGGGAAGAACAAAUGUGUAAGUAACUAUGCACGUCUUGACGGUACCUAAUCAGAAAGCCACGGCUAACUACGU